rnacentral:rRNA from 1 species
UACGAAGGGGGCUAGCGUUGCUCGGAAUCACUGGGCGUAAAGAGCUCGUAGGUGGUUCGGUAAGUCAGGUGUGAAACCUCCAGGCUCAACCUGGAGACGCCACUUGAUACUGCUGUGACUGGAGUCCGGUAGGGGAGCGUGGAAUUCCUGGUGUAGCGGUGAAAUGCGCAGAUAUCAGGAGGAACACCAGCGGCGAAGGCGGCGCUCUGGGCCGGUACUGACACUGAGGAGCGAAAGCGUGGGUAGCAAACAGG